rnacentral:lncRNA from 1 species
GAUUUUUUUUUUUUUUUUUUUUCUCAAUUCUUGUACUAAAAACGAUAUUGUUUUGUUAUGCACUUAUUCUUAUACAUAUAAUAUACACAUAUUUAAAUAUGUAUAUAUAUAUGUAUGUAUAUGUAUUUAUAUGUAUGUAUAUGUAUUUAUAUGUAUGUAUAUGUAUUUAUAUGUAUGUAUAUGUAUGUAUAUAUAUGUAUAUGAUUGGUCAAAAAAAAAAAAAAAAAAAGGAUCUUUUUUUUUCUUAUAACUUAUUAAAAAAAAAAAAAAAAAAAUAAAAUAGUCAGUAAACAAAGAAUAAAUAUUUAAGAAAUGAUUAUCAAAUAGAUAAAAAUAAAUAAAUAAAUAAAUAAACAAAUAAAUAAAUAAGUAAACUGAAACAAUGAUUUUGAACACUUCAACGGAUUUUGUGAUUAUUCAUGUAUUUGUUAAAGCGAUAUGAAUAAAAUAAAUUCUACGUUAAAUCAUAUGCAGUUAGUUAAUGAAAAUCUGAAAAAAUUAUUCUUAACACAACAAGAUUUUAAUGAUCAUGAUUCUUAUCUGUUGAUGAAAGUGUAGAUGAAUAUGUUAAGGAAAAACUUGAAUACCAUAUAAAAACUCUUAGAAACUAUAAAAGGGAACUAAGUAAAUGGUGGAUGGAACAUAAAAAGAAUUAUUAUCGUUUAUGUGUACAUAAUAUUUUAGAUAAAAAAAAAUGUGAGAGCCAUGAUACUAUAAAAACAAGUGGCACAGAUGUAAAUGACUUACAUUUAAAAGACACGAAAAAUAUGAUGAUAAAUGAAAUUAACAGAAUGAAAAAUGCAAAAUCACAAUUAUUAGAAUCUUCUCACAUAUUAAAAAAACAAGACAAAAUAUUUACUAUGUUCGAGUCAAGGUUAAAAUCAAGUGCACAACUUAUAUUAUCUAUAAGAAAAAAAGCAGAAAAAGACUCGAAAUAUGUUUGGUACUCUUUUUUUUUCUUUCUUAUUAAACUUUUAUUUUUCGCCAUAUUCUAUUUAUUAAAAUUUUGUAUCCGAGUGUUUUAUUUAUUUAAAACGAAAAAUAAAGAAAAUGAUUUUAGUACAAGCGCGGAUAUUUCGAAAAGUGUCACGUCAUAAUCGUUUAAGUAACUAGUGAAUUUUGAAAAAAAAAAAACAGACAUAAACAAACGUAAACAAACGAAAGCAAACAAAAACAAA